rnacentral:rRNA from 1 species
UGUGCUUCACACAUGCAAGUCGAACGGGGUAGCAAUACCCAGUGGCGGACGGGUGAGUAACGCGUGGGAAUCUGCCUUUAGAUGGGGGAUAGCAGGCCGAAAGGCCUAUUAAUACCGCAUAUGCCGCAAGGUAAAAGGAGUAAUCCGUCUAAAGAUGAGCCCGCGUCCGAUUAGCUAGUUGGUAGGGUAAAGGCCUACCAAGGCUACGAUCGGUAGGUGGUCUGAGAGGGUGAUCACCCACAAUGGGACUGAGACACGGCCCAUA